rnacentral:tRNA from 1 species
GCCUUGCAAGCACUACGUCGAGCAUCCAGUCUUGUAAAUUGGGAGGGAGGGUUAAAAUCCCUAGCAAGGCU